UCUCGAUUCGUCUAGUGGUUAGGAUACCUGCUUGUCAUUAGACUAGGUCUUAUGACAGGAUUGAAACCGCAGGUGGCCGGGGUUCAAUUCCCCGAUCGAGAG